rnacentral:rRNA from 1 species
CAGCCAGGAUGUUGGCUUAGAAGCAGCCAUCAUUUAAAGAAAGCGUAAUAGCUCACUGGUCGAGUCGGCCUGCGCGGAAGAUGUAACGGGGCUAAACCAUGCACCGAAGCUGCGGCAGCGACGCUUAUGCGUUGUUGGGUAGGGGAGCGUUCUGUAAGCCUGUGAAGGUGUGCUGUGAGGCAUGCUGGAGGUAUCAGAAGUGCGAAUGCUGACAUAAGUAACGAUAAAGCGGGUGAAAAGCCCGCUCGCCGGAAGACCAAGGGUUCCUGUCCAACGUUAAUCGGGGCAGGGUGAGUCGACCCCUAAGGCGAGGCCGAAAGGCGUAGUCGAUGGGAAACAGGUUAAUAUUCCUGUACUUGGUGUUACUGCGAAGGGGGGACGGAGAAGGCUAUGUUGGCCGGGCGACGGUUGUCCCGGUUUAAGCGUGUAGGCUGGUUUUCCAGGCAAAUCCGGAAAAUCAAGGCUGAGGCGUGAUGACGAGGCACUACGGUGCUGAAGCAACAAAUGCCCUGCUUCCAGGAAAAGCCUCUAAGCAUCAGGUAACAUCAAAUCGUACCCCAAACCGACACAGGUGGUCAGGUAGAGAAUACCAAGGCGCUUGAGAGAACUCGGGUGAAGGAACUAGGCAAAAUGGUGCCGUAACUUCGGGAGAAGGCACGCUGAUAUGUAGGUGAAGUCCCUCGCGGAUGGAGCUGAAAUCAGUCGAAGAUACCAGCUGGCUGCAACUGUUUAUUAAAAACACAGCACUGUGCAAACACGAAAGUGGACGUAUACGGUGUGACGCCUGCCCGGUGCCGGAAGGUUAAUUGAUGGGGUCAGCGCAAGCGAAGCUCUUGAUCGAAGCCCCGGUAAACGGCGGCCGUAACUAUAACGGUCCUAAGGUAGCGAAAUUCCUUGUCGGGUAAGUUCCGACCUGCACGAAUGGCGUAAUGAUGGCCAGGCUGUCUCCACCCGAGACUCAGUGAAAUUGAACUCGCUGUGAAGAUGCAGUGUACCCGCGGCAAGACGGAAAGACCCCGUGAACCUUUACUAUAGCUUGACACUGAACAUUGAGCCUUGAUGUGUAGGAUAGGUGGGAGGCUUAGAAGUGUGGACGCCAGUCUGCAUGGAGCCGACCUUGAAAUACCACCCUUUAAUGUUUGAUGUUCUAACGUUGACCCGUAAUCCGGGUUGCGGACAGUGUCUGGUGGGUAGUUUGACUGGGGCGGUCUCCUCCUAAAGAGUAACGGAGGAGCACGAAGGUUGGCUAAUCCUGGUCGGACAUCAGGAGGUUAGUGCAAUGGCAUAAGCCAGCUUGACUGCGAGCGUGACGGCGCGAGCAGGUGCGAAAGCAGGUCAUAGUGAUCCGGUGGUUCUGAAUGGAAGGGCCAUCGCUCAACGGAUAAAAGGUACUCCGGGGAUAACAGGCUGAUACCGCCCAAGAGUUCAUAUCGACGGCGGUGUUUGGCACCUCGAUGUCGGCUCAUCACAUCCUGGGGCUGAAGUAGGUCCCAAGGGUAUGGCUGUUCGCCAUUUAAAGUGGUACGCGAGCUGGGUUUAGAACGUCGUGAGACAGUUCGGUCCCUAUCUGCCGUGGGCGCUGGAGAACUGAGGGGGGCUGCUCCUAGUACGAGAGGACCGGAGUGGACGCAUCACUGGUGUUCGGGUUGUCAUGCCAAUGGCACUGCCCGGUAGCUAAAUGCGGAAGAGAUAAGUGCUGAAAGCAUCUAAGCACGAAACUUGCCCCGAGAUGAGUUCUCCCUGACUCCUUGAGAGUCCUGAAGGAACGUUGAAGACGACGACGUUGAUAGGCCGGGUGUGUAAGCGCAGCGAUGCGUUGAGCUAACCGGUACUAAUGAACCGUGAGGCUUAACCUUACAACGCCGAAGCUGUU